UGGCGGACGGGUGAGUAACGCGUAGGAAUCUACCUUGUAGUGGGGGAUAACUUGGGGAAACUCAAGCUAAUACCGCAUAAGCCCUAAGGGGGAAAGCGUGGGACCGUAAGGCCACGUGCUAUAAGAUGAGCCUGCGUCGGAUUAGCUAGUUGGUGGGGUAAAGGCCUACCAAGGCGAGGAUCCGUAGCUGGUCUGAGAGGACGACCAGCCACACUGGGACUGAGACACGGCCCAG
rnacentral:rRNA from 1 species